rnacentral:rRNA from 1 species
CCUACGGGUGGCAGCAGUCGAGAAUCAUUCACAAUGGGGGAAACCCUGAUGGUGCGACGCCGCGUGGGGGAAUGAAGGUCUUCGGAUUGUAAACCCCUGUCAUGUGGGAGCAAAUUAAAAAGAUAGUACCCCAAGAGGAAGAGACGGCUAACUCUGUGCCAGCAGCCGCGGUAAUACAGAGGUCUCAAGCGUUGUUCGGAAUCACUGGGCGUAAAGCGUGCGUAGGCUGUUUCGUAAGUCGUGUGUGAAAGGCGCGGGCUCAACCCGCGGACGGAACAUGAUACUGCGAGACUAGAGUAAUGGAGGGGGAACCGGAAUUCUCGGUGUAGCAGUGAAAUGCGUAGAUAUCGAGAGGAACACUCGUAGCGAAGGCGGGUUCCUGGACAUUAACUGACGCUGAGGCACGAAGGCCAGGGGAGCGAAAGGGAUUAGAUACCCUUGUAGUC